GGGCAAACACAUGAAAUCAGACAACACUGCGGCAGUAACUGACAGUGCACAAAGGCCAGAUGCCUGCACAUGGUGCCCAGCCUUUGUGCUGCUCCUUAUGAACCUGGUUAAAUGAAGGAGCAGCCAGCAAUGGGACACCAGAAGGGCAAAGCAUGUCCUCAGUGACCAUGGAUGGAGACAGCCGCAUUCACAGAUUAGCGCUGCCAUGGAAACUUGGUUUGCAGAGCUCCCCAUGGCAAAUAAGGAAUGAAUGCCAGGUGAGCAACAACCUGUGACUUGGGAGAUAUAGUUCUAUAUUACAUUCCCUUACAGACUUCUUUAUGACCAGCUCCUCUGUCUUGGGAAUAUAGACAGAUGCAGUGUGCUCUCUGUAGGCUGGCAAUGCCUGCCCUGAGGGCCACCUGUGUUACCUGGAACAUGCAGCCUGGUGACAGCUCUACUCAAAGCCCAGCAUGGAUGCAUUGCAGCAGUCCUAAGGCACAGAUGAAGGAUUCAACACAACAACUUGCAGUCUAUGUGGUGAAACCUUAUCCCAGAAUCAUAGAAUCACAAAAUCGUAUAAUGGCUUAGCUUGCAAGGGAACUUAGAGACCAUCCAGUUCUAACCCCCUGUCAUGGACAGGACUGCCACUGAACAGAUCAGGCUGCCCAGUGGCCCAUCCAAUCCAGCCUUGAAUGUCUCCAGUGAUGAGGCAUCCAUAACUCUCUGCACGCCUGUGCCAGUAAACCUUCCCAUGCCUGAACUAACAGCUCUGCUUGUGUGAGGCUGGUGUAGGUAUCUCCAUGUGCACCUCUAAUAGCAAAAGUGCCAUUUGUCACCUCAAAUUUCAGACCUGGAUGGCUAGAAAUCUAGUAAUGAAAGCUCAGUAGAUACCUGCAGUGCUCUAAAAAGUGUGUUUUGUGAGACUGAUGCCCUGAAUGUUAUUACUUGACUGCAUGUUUUACAGCCAGCUGCAUGCCCAUUUGGGGGAAUUUUCGUUUAAAACUUAUGUCCGCAGCAAGGGAAAUGUCAGAAAACACAUUAUUAAACUCAAAAUUGAACCGAUGAAUUCUUCCCAGACAGUAAAACAUUUUCCCUCUCAGUGGAAGAGACUGUGGUUUGACAUUCUUUGUUCUUCAUAAAUCCAAGUUAACCAGUUCUUUUUAUCAGAGAGUUAUUCCAAUUUGCUAUGAAGCAGUUGCUUAAUACUUUGUUGCAGUAUCUUGCCAAGGUUAAACUGGUUGGUUGUUCCCCAUAUUUUCCAUUUCUGCAUAAGAUAGCACGUCAACCUUUCUCUAGUGCCUAGGGGCCUUAUAAACCCACAUGAGUUUCUAAUGGCUCAGCAGUUGUCUUGCCUAAGCUGAAAACUGAAUGUCCUCAUUCCUUCCUGGUGUUGGUCUUAUACAGAGAAGUUUGAGGAUUUAAGACUCAGCUGAAUGUAAAACCAGAAGUAUGGGAAAAGUGCUGGAAAUUGAGAAAAGUCAGUGGCAAAAUUUCCACAGCUUUUAUUGGAAGGAAGAUUUGGAUCUAUGGGCAUGAAUCUGAAAAGGGAAAGACUGGGUUACGUAAAACUGGAGGCUAGCAAUAAAUAUGAGAAAACACUCAACUCAUACAAUGUACUCUAAAUUAUCUGUUUGUGGCAGAUCAUUGCAAAAACAUGAACUAAAAGAAGGAAAACUGCAAAAGCCAAGUCCCCUGAUGUUAGUAUUGGAGCUGUCAGUCUGCAGGUUCUGGUUGGGUGCAUUCUUUUCUGCAGAGCUGCUGUGGUAUCCUGUGCCCACAGGUACAUGAGAACAUCAGCCACCCUUGUUGUCCAAUGCCCCUUGGCUAAAUGACCUGAACAUGUGUUUCCCUUUGUUCACAACCAGAGGGAAAGUUUCUAUUGCAGCCUAUGUCUCAGUAUGUAAAAGUCCAUGUGUCCGCAUCUGGCUCACUCCAGCUGGGAUGCCUCAAAGCUGCCUUUUCUGCCUAUCGAAGUGUUAAUAGUUUCAUGCUAAGUACGCUAAAGAGGUUCCUUAGAUCCUCAUUUACAUAUGUUUUGUAUUACCCAUGUUUUUGCUUUUCAUGGUUUAUUUUUCCCUCCCACAAGUUGCCACUAUCCCCUUCAUUAAUCCAUCUAAUUGAAACCUGACAUUUUCUGAUUUAUUGUUCCAAGUUCUCUUAAAAUCACCAGUCAGAAGAACAGCUGUACUCCUGUGUAGUUAAAAGAUGUUCAACAGCAAAUUUUGUCUUAGGUGUGACGUUACCACCUCUGUCUCUUUUGGAGCAAAGCCUGGGCCUUGUCAAAGCUCCCCUACUGACUGACGGUGAGCAUGGAGCCUGAAGGGCUGCUCGUGGUAAUGGGAAGGAUGGAUCUGGUGGAGGCAGUCGGUGUAGUGCCUCCUGCAAUCCCAUGGUCUGGGGGCAGGCAGCCAAGGGCUCAUCCCUGCCAAACCUGCCUUGCCUCUCACUCCAGCAAUGCAGCAGCAUUAAUAAGGGUAUAAUCAGACACAGGGGAGAUGCUUUUUUCCUGUUGCUUAAAGUAGAUUAAACAGUGUACAAUUCACAGAAACAACAUUCAGUUGUCUCUUUUAAACUUAAUAUUAAGUCUCUCUUUUUUCCCUGACAAACUCUUCUCUGUGUCCUUUAAUACAAGAUAUAUUGAGCUUUAAAAAGUAUAUUCAGCUCUUACAUUUCACAGGUUAACUGAAGGAUUUGAGGUGUCUUACAGCAACAAUGUCAGGAACAGCAUCUACCAAACUGUCCAGAGGGAACAGGGAAAAUCAGCACGAGAAAAAUGUAUCCACAACGGAGAACUAUCGUGGAGGCCUCCUGCUGAGAUCCAUCCUGAUGUUGGAACAGGAAGCAAGUCAAAAAGUGGUGUGAUUGUGUUGACACUACUGCCUGCUGCAAUGAGUCCUGCUUGUCCCACCUGAGCAUUCACAGAGAACAACUGUUGUGGAGCUGCCAGACUCACCCUGCCUUCAUUGUGCACUUCCAUGGACAUGGAGAUGGCAUGGGACAUGGGACAGGCAAGUCUGUGGGCUGCCAUGUUUCCUGAUAUCAGUGAGAAAGGGGAAAGGUGAAUAAUAGCUACUUGGUGUGAGAUUCCCUCCUUCUGUUUCGGGAAGUGCAGCAGGGAUUUGGGGAGCCAGGGGAAAUAAGUGAGGUGAUUUUUAUGCUUUGGAUUCAGAGCGCUGCAAUCUGCCUACAUAGUUCCACUUGGUUUCAGCUUAUGUGAAUUUGGAACAGAGAUUGUUUUGAAAAAAAUGGAGUGAGAGCUGGGCAGAAAAUACAUUUACAACAGCAGGUCACACAUCAUGGGGAAACAUCUAUGAGAUACAUUGUGGGGAGUAAAGUCUGGCUGCAGAUCACUGCUGCAGGGAAGCAUUAGGAAAAAUUUUCUAGUAUUUGCUUUUUAUUAAAACAAAUCCCCGCAUACAUUUUCUGAAGCAUUUCAUACAGAAAUUCCCCACAAAGAAAGACCAAAGCUACUCUCUAUAAAAACCUUUCACAUUUUACCUGGAAACAUUUCUAUCUAUCCUAUGUCAUCUCAGAGGUGAAGGCUCUGACCCUCAGACUGAGGAUCAGGAUAACCUAUCUGGAUGAGGAUGAGGAGCACAGUUCUUACAGGAGGAUGGACAAAACUACAAAAUGGGACACAGCAUGCAUUCCAUCCCUUCUAAGAAACAUGGGAUAGCAAGGGUGAGAAUUCUAGCCUCUCCAGCUCUUGUUUCUCCAAAAGCUACUUUGUGCGUGUGCAGUAGUUUCUACUGCACCAGAGCAAACCCAUCCACCUUCAUUAGCAACGCAGACCCCCAAAAGACAAGAUACUUUACUAUAAAGAAUGCUUUUGCUUUUUUUCUACAAUGCAUUCGUUCCUAAGCACAAACCUAGCUCAUAUACAUAGCUGAUUUUUUUCAAUACUUUUCCAGAGUGUGCAUGCUGAUGGAACAAAAAAACUCCAAAUGUAAGGAAACUCAUUCAUUUGGUUCGCAUUGAUGCUCUCCUUCCAGCUAAUGACUAAUACUGGCUUUAAAGAAACCUGCAUUGUCAUUGAGAAGUAUUGCAUGAAAAGUAAAUAGCCUCAGAAAUCACUGUGGUAACAGGUCAUAAAUCAGCUAAAGAAUAAUAUCAAAUAAUAAAAAUAGUAUUUUUCCACUACA